CCUACGGGCGGCAGCAGUGAGGAAUAUUGGUCAAUGGUCGGGAGACUGAACCAGCCAAGCCGCGUGAGGGAUGAAGGUACAGAGUAUCGUAAACCUCUUUUGUCAGGGAACAAAGGCGGGGACGUGUCCCCGGAUGAGUGUACCUGAAGAAAAAGCAUCGGCUAACUCCGUGCCAGCAGCCGCGGUAAUACGGAGGAUGCGAGCGUUAUCCGGAUUUAUUGGGUUUAAAGGGUGCACAGGCGGUCUGUUAAGUCAGCGGUCAAAGCCCGUGGCUCAACCCCGGCCCGCCGUUGAAACUGGCAGUCGCGAGUUGGAGAGAAGUAUGCGGAAUGCGCGGUGUAGCGGUGAAAUGCAUAGAUAUCGCGCAGAACUCCGAUUGCGAAGGCAGCAUGCCGGCUCCACACUGACGCUGAGGCACGAAAGCGUGGGUAUCGAACAGGAUUAGAUACCCCUGUAGUC
rnacentral:rRNA from 1 species